GUGGGGAAUAUUGGGCAAUGGGCGAAAGCCUGACCCAGCAACGCCGCGUGAGGGAAGAAGGUUUUCGGAUUGUAAACCUCUGUCCUCAGGGAAGAAGGAAGUGACGGUACCUGAGGAGGAAGCCCCGGCUAACUACGUGCCAGCAGCCGCGGUAAUACGUAGGGGGCGAGCGUUGUCCGGAAUGACUGGGCGUAAAGGGCGCGUAGACGGCUGUCUAAGUCUGGAGUGAAAGUCCUGUUUUCAAGGCGGGAAUUGCUUUGGAGACUGGAUGGCUUGAGUGCGGAAGAGGUAAGUGGAAUUCCCAGUGUAGCGGUGAAAUGCGUAGAGAUUGGGAGGAACACCAGUGGCGAAGGCGACUUACUGGGCCGUAACUGACGUUGAAGCGCGAAAGCGUGGGGAGCGAACAGGAUUAGAAACCCGGGUAGUCC
rnacentral:rRNA from 1 species